CGCCGAUCUGGGCGGGCAGGUGCAUGGUGCACUCUGCGGCGGGGUGCAGCAGGGGCCGGACCUUGGCGGCGUUCGCCUCGUCGGUCAGCAGC
rnacentral:tRNA from 1 species